GCCGCAGUGCUGGAAUGGCAGACAGACCAGUCUCAAAAACUGGUGGUAGCAAUACCGUGUGAGUUCGACUCUCACCUGCGGCACAA
rnacentral:tRNA from 2 species